rnacentral:rRNA from 1 species
CUUCGGUGGGGAUUAGUGGCGAACGGGUGAGUAACACGUGGGCAAUCUGCCCUGCACUCUGGGACAAGCCCUGGAAACGGGGUCUAAUACCGGAUACUGAUCCUCGCAGGCAUCUGCGAGGUUCGAAAGCUCCGGCGGUGCAGGAUGAGCCCGCGGCCUAUCAGCUAGUUGGUGAGGUAACGGCUCACCAAGGCGACGACGGGUAGCCGGCCUGAGAGGGCGACCGGCCACACUGGGACUGAGACACGGCCCAGACUCCUACGGGAGGCAGCAGUGGGGAAUAUUGCACAAUGGGCGAAAGCCUGAUGCAGCGACGCCGCGUGAGGGAUGACGGCCUUCGGGUUGUAAACCUCUUUCAGCAGGGAAGAAGCGAAAGUGACGGUACCUGCAGAAGAAGCGCCGGCUAACUACGUGCCAGCAGCCGCGGUAAUACGUAGGGCGCAAGCGUUGUCCGGAAUUAUUGGGCGUAAAGAGCUCGUAGGCGGCUUGUCACGUCGGUUGUGAAAGCCCGGGGCUUAACCCCGGGUCUGCAGUCGAUACGGGCAGGCUAGAGUUCGGUAGGGGAGAUCGGAAUUCCUGGUGUAGCGGUGAAAUGCGCAGAUAUCAGGAGGAACACCGGUGGCGAAGGCGGAUCUCUGGGCCGAUACUGACGCUGAGGAGCGAAAGCGUGGGGAGCGAACAGGAUUAGAUACCCUGGUAGUCCACGCCGUAAACGGUGGGCACUAGGUGUGGGCAACAUUCCACGUUGUCCGUGCCGCAGCUAAC